AUUGAACGCUGGCGGCAUGCUUUACACAUGCAAGUCGAACGGCAGCGCGGGCUUCGGCCUGGCGGCGAGUGGCGAACGGGUGAGUAAUGCAUCGGAACGUGCCCAGUAGUGGGGGAUAGCCCGGCGAAAGCCGGAUUAAUACCGCAUACGACCUGAGGGUGCAAGCGGGGGACCGAAAGGCCUCGCGCUAUUGGAGCGGCCGAUGUCGGAUUAGCUAGUUGGUGGGGUAAAGGCUUACCAAGGCGACCAUCCGUAGCUGGUCUGAGAAGACGACCAGCCACACUGGGACUGAGACACGGCCCAGACUCCUACGGGAGGCAGCAGUGGGGAAUUUUGGACAAUGGGGGCAACCCUGAUCCAGCCAUGCCGCGUGCGGGAAGAAGGCCUUCGGGUUGUAAACCGCUUUUGUUCGGGAAGAAAUCCUCUGGGCUAAUACCCCGGGGGGAUGACGGUACCGGAAGAAUAAGCACCGGCUAACUACGUG
rnacentral:rRNA from 1 species